rnacentral:rRNA from 1 species
CUACGGGGCGCUCCAGUAAGGAAUAUUGCACAAUGGGGGAAACCCUGAUGCAGCAACGCCGCGUGGACGAAGAAGGCCUUCGGGUCGUAAAGUCCUUUUCUGAGGGAAGAGGAAGGACGGUACCUCAGGAAUAAGUCUCGGCUAACUACGUGCCAGCAGCCGCGGUAAAACGUAGGAGGCGAGCGUUAUCCGGAUUCACUGGCGUAAAGGGCAAGUAGGCGGUUGUUUAAGUUAGGUGUGACAUCUCUCGGCUUAACUGGGAGGGAGCGCUUAAAACUAGGCAACUAGAGGUCGGAAGAAGGGGGUAGAACUCCAAAUGUAGCGGUGGAAUGCUCAGAUAUUUGGAAGAAUACCAGUGGCGAAGGCGACCCCCCGGUCCGUGCCUGACGCUGAGAGGCGAAAGCUAGGGUAGCGAACGGGAUUAGAUACCCUCGUAGUC